GACGAACGCUGGCGGCGUGCUUAACACAUGCAAGUCGAACGGAAAGGCCCUGCUUUUGUGGGGUGCUCGAGUGGCGAACGGGUGAGUAACACGUGAGUAACCUGCCCUUGACUUUGGGAUAACUUCAGGAAACUGGGGCUAAUACCGGAUAGGAGCUCCUGCUGCAUGGUGGGGGUUGGAAAGUUUCGGCGGUUGGGGAUGGACUCGCGGCUUAUCAGCUUGUUGGUGGGGUAGUGGCUUACCAAGGCUUUGACGGGUAGCCGGCCUGAGAGGGUGGCCGGGCACAUGGGGCCUGAGAUACGGCCCAGACUGCUACGGGAGGCAGCAGUGGGGAAUAUUGCACAAUGGGCGGAAGUCUGAUGCAGAAACGCCGCGUGCGGGAUGACGGCCUUCGGGUUGUAAACCGCUGUCGCCUGAGACGAAGCGUGAGUGACGGUAAUGGGUAAAGAAGCACCGGCUAACUACGUG
rnacentral:rRNA from 1 species